UACGAAGGGGGCUAGCGUUGCUCGGAAUGACUGGGCGUAAAGAGCUCGUAGGCGGUUUGUUGCGUCGGCUGUGAAAUCCCGAGGCUCAACCUCGGGUCUGCAGUCGAUACGAGCAAACUAGAGUGUUGCAGGGGAGACUGGAAUUCCUGGUGUAGCGGUGAAAUGCGCAGAUAUCAGGAGGAACACCGGUGGCGAAGGCGGGUCUCUGGGCAACAACUGACGCUGAGGAGCGAAAGCGUGGGGAGCGAACAGG
rnacentral:rRNA from 1 species